rnacentral:tRNA from 1 species
GGGGUUGUGGCUCAGUGGUAGAGCACUCGCCUAGCAUGUGUGAGGGCCUGGGUUCGAUCCUCAGCACCACA